rnacentral:rRNA from 1 species
AGAACGAACGCUGGCGGCAUGCCUAACACAUGCAAGUCGAACGAGACCUUCGGGUCUAGUGGCGCACGGGUGCGUAACGCGUGGGAAUCUGCCCUUGGGUUCGGAAUAACAGCGAGAAAUUGCUGCUAAUACCGGAUGAUGACGUAAGUCCAAAGUAUUUAUCGCCCAAGGAUGAGCCCGCGUAGGAUUAGCUUGUUGGUGAGGUAAGAGCUCACCAAGGCGACGAUCCUUAGCUGGUCUGAGAGGAUGAUCACGCCACGACGUGGGACUGACGACACCGGCCAGACCUCCGUACGGGAGCAGCAGGUGGGAAU